rnacentral:rRNA from 1 species
AGUUGAUCCUGGCUUAGGAUGAACGCUAGCUACAGGCUUAACACAUGCAAGUCGAGGGGCAGCAUGGGAUUAGCUUGCUAAUCCUGAUGGCGACCGGCGCACGGGUGAGUAACGCGUAUCCAACCUUCCCCCUGCUCAGGGAUAGCCCGGUGAAAACCGGAUUAAGACCUGAUAGUUUCACUAGAUGGCAUCUGACGGUGAAUAAAGGUUUCGGCAAGGGAUGGGGAUGCGUCUGAUUAGCUUGUUGGCGGGUAACGGCCCACCAAGGCGACGAUCAGUAGGGUUCUGAGAGGAAGGUCCCCCACAUUGGAACUGAGACACGGUCCAAACUCCUACGGGAGGCAGCAGUGAGGAAUAUUGGUCAAUGGGCGGAAGCCUGAACCAGCCAAGUAGCGUGCAGGAAGACGGCCCUAUGGGUUGUAAACUGCUUUUGUGCGGGAAUAAAGUCAGGGACGCGUCCCUGUUUGCAUGUACCGCAAGAAUAAGGACCGGCUAAUUCCGUGCCAGCAGCGGC